CAGAACCAUCAAAACAGAACCUUCAAACGUGCGCCUCUCUGAGCACUGUGACUCCCACGGCAGCUCCACUCUCCCGUGAACCUUCUGCCCCUGCGAGGAGACGUAGAAUACGGCAAGCGUGUACCACUCUGACCCCUGUACUUACAUCGGCACCAGAUCCUUUCGAACCUGCGAGGCCGAUAAGGAGACGUAGGAACCAGAGACACAAGUCUAACAUUGUCAGGAGAUUGUUUGAUGGUAUAUUUUAUACUAUAUCUUCUUGACUAAUAAUAAUAAUAAUAUAUAAAAAAAAUAAUAACUCAUCUCUCAUCUAAUUACAGAUUCAGGGUUGAGAUUAAACGAGAGCGUUCCUGAACCGUCCUUCAACAGGGUCGAGGGGGAUACGGGGGGCAACGAUCAUCCCCAACAACAGCACAAGCACCACGAGAGCGUUCGUCAACCGUCCUUCAACAGGGUGGACGGGGAUACAGCCGGAUACAAUCAUCCCCAACAACAGCACGAGCACCACGAGAGCGUUCCUGAUCCGCUCUUUGACAGGGCUGAGGAUACAGGCUGCUACAUUCAUUCCCAACACCCCCAAGACAAGGUAGUGCUGGAGAUUUUCAAUAAUGUCAUACGGUAUAUUGUUUCCUCCAAUUGUAACCAAAGGUGUACUAAAACAGUGUUGAAAAAGCUGUAAUUUUUUUUUUUUCCUUUUUCUGUCUUUUGUUUAAGAUAUGGAUGAGGAUUUCAAUGUUGAAUAUUUUAAUCAAGUACCGAUUGUUUUACAAAUAGCUGUUGAUCAAUUAAGUGAUGAGGAUUUCAAUGUUGAAUAUUUUAAUCAAGUACCGAAUGCUUUACAAAUAGCUGUUGAUCAAUUAAGUGAAAUUCCAAUCUCCAUUCCAAUAAAUUUACAUUUUACAGAGCAAAAUGAAAACGUCCUAGAACUUGACACCUUACAACUCAUAAAUGAUGCCCUCGAAAACCUUAAUGCAGUUAAUGCAGUAGAGUUUGAAAAUCAUUCUCCUUCAUCAGCUCUCCACACGCAAAGUGAUCAUGUCUUACACGCGGUAACAAUCAGAUCAGAGACGGAUUCAGCCGAGACACAAUCGGCUCUUCCUAACCCCCCUCCCGAACAGGAUGAGAGGCCAGGAGAAGGGGGGUCAGAGAGCAGCCCCUCAGCCCAUCUUUCUCCUCAGCAAGGGGGAGGAGGGCUAGGAGAAAAUCCAUCCGAUCUCUCUCCUGAGCGGGGUGAGAGGUUUUUUAAUGAUUUUAUCACAUGGAGAACAAGACGCUCCUUUAACAUUCCCACUCGGGGAAAUGUGCCUGACAUUGCAACAUUCUAUCGAGAUGUAACAGGGGUUAUCAGCGAAUUGGCGGAUGUUGCCAGACGACAUAGUAGUCGCAAUGAUUUAAUACAGUUGGAGGUGGUGGGUGAAAACGUACACAAUCAUGUUACAGUUGCUGUGGAUGAACAAGGUGAAAAUAUUCUACCGGCUUUUAAUGGAAUGCUAGAUCGGAUUGUGCAGUCAAACGGUAUCAUUUCAUCGGAUGAGAAUAUAGAAUUCAUCCUUCACGUGGUGCAGAACCCAGGAGGAGGUGCCAAACGUAAGAUGGAGAAAACUCUAGACUGUGAAAUCAUUGACAAAAAAAGACGUCACUUAUUUAUCGUAGACAACAGAGACAACCAGCUUUGCUUCGCCAUCAGUCUAGCUCACGUUAUCUACCCGAAACUUACUGAAAGAGAAUGCCUUGAUAUUGCGAGGAAGUUGCAGCAUCAGGCUGGUUUAAAUGAUGAGACCCCCGUCACUUUCAGUGACAUUGGUAAAUUUGAAAAUAUUCUGGGGCGUAAAAUUGUUGUGUUUUACAGAACAUGCCACAGUAAACCCCUCUCACAUUAUGAGACAAAAUUCUCUGAUCGUUCCAAUCAGUUGUUUCUCUUUUUACUACAAAAUCACUAUUAUGGGAUAAAAAAUCUCAAAGCCUUCCUGGGGUCGUCAGUCUGUAAUUAUUGUUACAAGACUUUUAAGCACCCCUAUACCCACUUUUGUAAAGGUUACUGCGCAGUGUGCAACGAUCCUGCCUGCCCCACAGAAGGGUUCAACACAGUGGUUUGCUCUGACUGUAACAGAACGUGUCGCUCACCCUCUUGUUUCACCAGACACAAAUUGGUCGGUUCAAGCAGAAAGUCCAGCCUCUGCGACCAAAUCAAAAAAUGCGCACGAUGCAAACUAUACUACAGUGUCAAUUUGUCGUUAGACGAUGCAAAGCAUCGCUGUGCGGUGAAAAAAUGUAAAAUCUGUGGUGAAAAACUGCAGAGCGACUCUAAAGUCGAUCAUAGUUGUUACAUUCCUACCCUCCAACCAGACAUCUCACAUCCUGAUUUGGUUUUUUAUGAUUUUGAAACAUUUGUGGGUCAAAAUGGAGAGCAUGUUCCUUUUUUAGUGCAUACAAAAACAUCCAAAGGUGAAGAGAAGGCGUUUUAUGGUCUUGACUGUGCUAAAAUGUUUAUUUUGCAUUUCAGGAAGCCACGAUACAAACAGAACAUCUUUAUAGCCCAUAAUGCCAAGGGGUUUGACAGUUAUCUGGUGUUAAAAGGUAUGUUGGAACUGGAUGUGACGCCACAACAGAUUCUGAUGAACGGGAGUAAAAUCCUCAGUUUUGAGGAAUCCCAUUAUGGUCUCAAAUUCAUAGAUUCCCUGUCAUUUCUCCCCAUGCGUCUCAGCGCUAUGCCCAAAGCCUUAGGAUUCACUGACAAGACCAAGGGGUAUUUCCCACACAAAUUUAGCUCAGAAAUUCACCUCAAUUACGUGGGGCCCUAUCCCGUUCCGUCCGACUACGACGUAGAUCGCAUGACGGUGCGCGAACGGGAAGAAUUUGACCCGUGGUACAACGAGGUCAGCCGAGGUACCUUUGACUUCAAAAAGGAGGCCUCGCUGUACUGCAAAAAUGAUGUUGACAUUCUCACCCAGGGCAGUCUUAAAUUUAGAGAUCAGUUCCUAGGUGAGACGGGGGUAGACCCUUUUGGUUCUAUCGCCAUAGCCGGAGCCUGUAUGAAGGUGUUUCGCACCAAUUAUCUGACUCCUAACACUCUGGCUAUCCCCUGCCCUCACAACUAUUUGAAUCAGAGCAAAAGAUUCUCUAGCGCAUCGGUUCAAUGGUUAGAAUGGUUGAUGCACAAAGAAAAAAUCUUUAUACAGCAUGCUCUAAACAUGGGUGAAAAACAGAUUGGUGCAUUUUUCGUAGACGGAUAUGCUGAGAUUGACGGUGUAAAACAUGUCUGGGAAUUUCAUGGAUGUUUUUACCACGGCUGUCCCAGUUGCUUUGAUCCCACAGUACAGUGCGAUAUGAGAGGCGUCACCUUUGGUGAACUGCACUACAAAAGUGAGAAGAGGGUGAGUGAGCUACAGACCACACAUGGGGUUCGUGUUGUAGUCAUGAGAGAACACACGUGGAACCAGAUGAAAACAACAUGCACGGAGGUUAAAGAAUUUCUCCGUUGCUUUAACGCUCCUGAGCCUCUCAACCCCCGAAAAGCACUUUUCGGAGGUAGAACGAGCGCUUUAAAACUGCGACACACGGCAGCGCCCGAUGAAACCAUCCACUAUGUUGAUGUCACCUCACUGUACCCGUUUGUCAACAGUACUUGCUCUUACCCCUUUGGUCACCCCGUGAUCAUCUACAAAGAUUUCGAGGACCCACGCAGCUACUACGGCUUCAUCAGAGCCACUGUGUAUCCUCCUCGAGGUCUUUUAUUCCCCGUGUUACCGCACAAAAGUGAGGGAGGUAAAUUACUCUUUACACUGUGUCGCACCUGUGCCGAAACUAACAAUGAGGGUGGCCCCUGCGAACACGACGAUGAGGGCAGAGCUCUGACGGGGGUCUGGGUCACCGUUGAAUUCAUCAAAGCUCUGGAUGUGGGGUACAGGGUGGGUAAAAUUACAGAAGUCUGGCACUUUGACAAGAGCAGCGACACUGUGUUUACCGACUACAUACACACCUUUUUGAAAGGAAAGCAGGAAGCCUCGGGUUACCCCGCUGAGGCGACGGACCGAGAGAGCAGGGAAAAAUACAUCAGGGACUAUCAGGAGCAUCAGGGCAUUCUUUUAGAUGCUGGCAAAAUCGAGACCAAUCCUGUGAAAAGACAGGUUGCUAAAUUGUGUCUCAACAGUUUGUGGGGAAAGUUUGCACAGAGAGAUAAUUUGUUUAAAACCACCAUUGUCUCAGAUCCUAAAGAAUUCUUUAGUUACAUGUUUUCAGGUAAAUACAAAGUCGAAUACUUUUCCGUUCUCCACAGCAACAGAGCUCUCAUCAGGUGGAAAUACACCGACAGGUACGUUCAACCCCCAGGUAAACAGAGUAAUGUUUUUAUUGCAGCAUUCACCACAGCACACGCACGACUGAAGCUGUACAGUUAUCUGGAAAACAACAGAGUGUUUUACAUCGACACAGAUAGUUUAAUCUAUCUGGUUAAAGAGGGUGAGAAACCUCUAGAGCUGGGUAACUAUUUAGGUGACCUGACGGAUGAACUGGAUGGUGACAGCAUUCAAGAGUUUGCAGCGGCGGGUCCCAAGAGUUACGCGUACCAAACACGAAAUAAAAAGAAAGUCGUCAUGCGUGUGAAAGGUAUCACUCAGACCCGGGAAUGUUGUGAGCGUGUGAGCUUUGACAGUGUCAGAGAGCUGGUGGAGGGUUACCUGAGUAAUAAACAAGAGGGAAACACGAUCGAGAUCCGUCAACACAGCAUCAGACGUGAUAAAAAGGGUUUCGCAUUGAGAAAUGUGUCAUUUGAUAAAAAAUUUAGGGUGGUGUAUGACAAAAGACGACUCUUUGCUGACGGAACAACUCUGCCUUUCGGGUAUUAGAAAUGCAGGAAAUUGAAUUUGAUCCUAGGUUUAUCUUUCCUUUUUCUUGUUUAAUCGCGGGUCCGAGCGGGUGUGGAAAGACCUAUUUUGUAAAAAAUGUAUUGGAAAACUGUGACCGUGUAAUAAAUGUUGUACCUGACAAUAUCGUGUGGAUUUAUACCUCUUUUCAACCUAUGUACGCUGAACUGCAAAAGAUGAUUAAAAACAUUAAAUUUGUCAAAGGUCUGCCUGAUUCUUUUGAAGAUGA
rnacentral:lncRNA from 1 species